AAGGCUUGACAUGUACGAGAAAGCCCCAGAGAUGGGGUUCUCUUUGGACACUCGUACACAGGUGGUGCAUGGUUGUCGUCAGCUCGUGUCGUGAGAUGUUGGGUUAAGUCCCGCAACGAGCGCAACCCUUAUCCUAUGUUGCCAGCGGGUCGUGCCGGGGACUCAUGGGAGACUGCCGGGGUCAACUCGGAGGAAGGUGGGGAUGACGUUGACGUCAUAACC
rnacentral:misc_RNA from 1 species